rnacentral:lncRNA from 1 species
GACAAGGCGAAGAACUUCCUGGCCGAGAAGGUGGCCCACAUCCCGAAGCCGGAGGGCAGCGUGACGGACGUCGACCUGAAGGGCGUCACCCGCGAGUGCGUCGAGUACAACGCCAAGGUCGCCGUCAAGAACCCCUACGGCCACUCCCUCCCCAUCUGCGAGAUCACCUACUCCUUCAAAAGCGCCGGCAGGUAUGAUAAACCCCCCUUCUUCCAAAGUCUCGAUUUUCUCGUACCUGGAUUUCGAUUGCGAACGAGACGUGGGGGAAUGAUUUGGUUUUUGAAUGAAUCAGGGAGAUAGCGUCGGGGAAGGUGCCGGAUCCGGGGUCGCUUAAGGCCAGCGACACGACGAUGCUGGACGUGCUGGUGAAGACGCCGUACAGCAUCCUGAUGAGCCUGGCGAAGGACAUCGGGACCGACUGGGACAUCGACUACCAGCUCGACAUCGGGCUCAUCAUCGACCUCCCCAUCAUCGGGAACUUCACCCUCCCCAUCUCCACCAAGGGCGAGAUCAAGCUCCCAACCCUCACC